rnacentral:rRNA from 1 species
AGAGUUUGAUCAUGGCUCAGAACAAACGCUGGCGGCGUGCCUAACACAUGCAAGUCGUACGAGAAAGUCCGCUUCGGUGGAUGAGUAAAGUGGCGCACGGGUGAGUAACGCGUGGAUAAUCUACCCUUUAGUCUGGAAUAACUUAUCGAAAGGUGAACUAAUACCGGAUAAUAUCCCGAUUUCUUCGGCGAUCGGGAUCAAAGAAGGCCUCUGCUUGCAAGCUUUCACUGAAGGAUGAGUCCGCGUACCAUUAGCUAGUUGGCAGGGUAAUGGCCUACCAAGGUUAUGAUGGUUAGCUGGUCUGAGAGGAUGAUCAGCCACACUGGAACUGAAACACGGUCCAGACUCCUACGGGAGGCAGCAGUGAGGAAUAUUGCGCAAUGGGGGCAACCCUGACGCAGCAACGCCGCGUGAGUGAGGAAGGUUUUCGGAUUGUAAAGCUCUGUCGAGCGGAAAGAAGUGCAUGGUGGUUAAUAUCCAUCAUGCUUGACGGUACCGCUAAAGGAAGCACCGGCUAACUCCGUGCCAGCAGCCGCGGUAAUACGGGGGGUGCAAGCGUUGUUCGGAAUCAUUGGGCGUAAAGCGCGUGUAGGCGGCUGGACAAGUCAGAUGUGAAAGCCCUGGGCUUAACCCAGGAAGUGCAUUUGAAACUGUUCAGCUAGAGUAAGGGAGAGGAAAGUGGAAUUCCUGGUGUAGAGGUGAAAUUCGUAGAUAUCAGGAGGAACACCGGUGGCGAAGGCGACUUUCUGGCCCUAUACUAACGCUGAGACGCGAAAGCGUGGGUAGCAAACAGGAUUAGAUACCCUGGUAGUCCACGCUGUAAACGAUGUUCACUAGGUGUUGGGGGUAUUGACCCUUCCAGUGCCGCAGCUAACGCAUUAAGUGAACCGCCUGGGGAGUACGGUCGCAAGAUUAAAACUCAAAUGAAUUGACGG